UACGUAGGGUCCGAGCGUUGUCCGGAAUUAUUGGGCGUAAAGAGCUCGUAGGCGGUUUGUCGCGUCUGCUGUGAAAUCCCGAGGCUCAACCUCGGGCCUGCAGUGGGUACGGGCAGACUGGAGUGCGGUAGGGGAGAAUGGAAUUCCAGGUGUAGCGGUGAAAUGCGUAGAUAUCUGGAGGAAUACCGGUGGCGAAGGCGGCAUCCUGGACCAUAACUGACGCUGAGGCGCGAAAGCUAGGGGAGCAAACGGG
rnacentral:rRNA from 1 species